ensembl:lncRNA
GAGGGGUGACCAGUCCUCUACUGACUGUACUGGGUAGAGAGGAACCAGGCUCUGAGGGGUGACCAGUCCUCUACUGGCUGUACUGGGUAGAGAGGUACCAGGCUCUGAGGAGUGACCAGUCCUCUACUGGCUGUACUGAGUAGAGAGGAACCAGGCUCUGAGGGGUGACCAGUCCUCUACUGGCUGUACUGGGUAGAGAGGAACCAGGCUCUGAGGGGUGACCAGUCCUCUACUGGCUGUACUGGGUAGAGAGGAACCAGGCUCUGGGGGUGGUCAGUCCUCUACUGGCUGUACUGAGUAGAGAGGAACCAGGUUCUGAGGGGUGACCAGUCCUCUUCUGGCUGCAAUGGGUAGAGAGGAACCAGGCUCUGAGGGGUGACCAGUCCUCUACUGGCUGUACUGGGUAGAGAGGAACCAGGCUCUGAGGGGUGACCAGUCCUCUACUGGCUGUACUGGGUAGAGAGGAACCAGGUUCUGAGGGGUGACCAGUCCUCUACUGGCUGUACUGGGUAGAGAGGAACCAGGCUCUGAGGGUGGUCAGUCCUCUACUGGCUGUACUGGGUAGAGAGGAACCAGGCUCUGAGGGUGGUCAGUCUUCUACUGGCUGUACUGGGUAGAGAGGAACCAGGCUCUGAGGGGUGACCAGUCCUCUACUGGCUGUACUGGGUAGAGAGGAACCAGGCUCUGAGGGGUGACCAGUCCUCUACUGGCUGUACUGGGUAGAGAGGAACCAGGUUCUGAGGGGUGACCAGUCCUCUACUGGCUGUACUGGGUAGAGAGGAACCAGGCUCUGAGGGUGGUCAGUCCUCUACUGGCUGUACUGGGUAGAGAGGAACCAGGCUCUGAGGGUGGUCAGUCCUCUACUGGCUGUACUGGGUAGAGAGGAACCAGGUUCUGAGGGGUGACCAGUCCUCUACUGGCUGUACUAGGUAGAGAGGAACCAGGCUCUGAGGGGUGACCAGUCCUCUACUGGCUGUACUGGGUAGAGAGGAACCAGGCUCUGAGGGGUGACCAGUCCUCUACUGGCUGCACUGGGUAGAGAGGAACCAGGCUCUGAGGGGUGACCAGUCCUCUACUGGCUGUACUGGUUAGAGAGGAUCCAGGCUCUGAGGGGUGACCAGUCCUCUACUGGCUGUACUGGGUAGAGAGGAACCAGGCUCUGAGGGGUGACCAGUCCUCUACUGGCUGUACUGGGUAGAGAGGAACCAGGCUCUGAGGGGUGGCCAGUCCUCUACUGGCUGUACUGGUUAGAGAGGAACCAGGCUCUGAGGGGUGACCAGUCCUCUACUGGCUAUACUGGGUAGAGAGGAACCAGGCUCUGAGGGGUGACCAGUCCUCUACUGGCUGUACUGAGUAGAGAGGAACCAGGCUCUGAGGGUGGUCAGUCCUCUACUGACUGUACUGGGUAGAGAGGAACCAGGCUCUGAGGUGUGACCAGUCCUCUUCUGGCUGUACUGGGUAGAGAGGAACCAGGCUCUGAGGGGUGGCCAGUCCUCUACUGGCUGUACUGGUUAGAGAGGAACCAGGCUCUGAGGUGUGACCAGUCCUCUACUGGCUGUACUGGGUAGAGAGGAACCAGGUUCUGAGGGGUGACCAGUCCUCUACUGGCUGUACUGGGUAGAGAGGAACCAGGCUCUGAGGGGUGACCAGUCCUCUACUGGCUGUACUGGGUAGAGAGGAACCAGGUUCUGAGGGGUGACCAGUCCUCUACUGGCUGUACUCGGUAGAGAGGAACCAGGUUCUGAGGUGUGACCAGUCCUCUACUGGCUGUACUGGGUAGAGAGGAACCAGGCUCUGA